rnacentral:rRNA from 1 species
UAAUGUCUGGGAAACUGCCUGAUGAGGGGGAGUAACUACUGGAAACGGUAGCUAAUACCGCAUAAUGUCGCAAGACCAAAGUGGGGGACCUUCGGGGCCUCAUGCCAUCAGAUGUGCCCAGAUGGGAUUAGCUAGUAGGUGGGGUAACGGCUCACCUAGGCGACGAUCCCUAGCUGGUCUGAGAGGAUGACCAGCCACACUGGAACUGAGACACGGUCCAG